AAAUGUUCUAAAUAACAAAAAGGACAAUAGGGGUUUAAUAUGAGAGAACGUAAUUUUUUUUUUUUUUUUAUUUUUUUUGUUAUUUAGAAAUUUAUGUUGUCUUUUAACGUCAGGAUGUCUAUUAAGAGUGUAUGGUGUUGGA
rnacentral:misc_RNA from 1 species